CGCAGGCGGCGUCGUAAGUCGGUCUUAAAAGUGCGGGGCUUAACCCCGUGAGGGGACCGAAACUGCGAUGCUAGAGUAUCGGAGAGGAAAGCGGAAUUCCUAGUGUAGCGGUGAAAUGCGUAGAUAUUAGGAGGAACACCAGUGGCGAAAGCGGCUUUCUGGACGACAACUGACGCUGAGGCGCGAAAGCCAGGGGAGCAAACG
rnacentral:rRNA from 1 species